UAGGGAAUCUUCGGCAAUGGGGGGAACCCUGACCGAGCAACGCCGCGUGAGUGAAGAAGGUUUUCGGAUCGUAAAGCUCUGUUGUUAAGGAAGAACGAGUGUGAGAAUGGAAAGUUCAUGCUGUGACGGUACUUAACCAGAAAGGGACGGCUAACUACGUGCCAGCAGCCGCGGUAAUACGUAGGUCCCGAGCGUUGUCCGGAUUUAUUGGGCGUAAAGCGAGCGCAGGCGGUUAGAAAAGUCUGAAGUGAAAGGCAGUGGCUCAACCAUUGUAGGCUUUGGAAACUGUUUAACUUGAGUGCAGAAGGGGAGAGUGGAAUUCCAUGUGUAGCGGUGAAAUGCGUAGAUAUAUGGAGGAACACCGGUGGCGAAAGCGGCUCUCUGGUCUGUAACUGACGCUGAGGCUCGAAAGCUUGGGGAGCGAACAGG
rnacentral:rRNA from 1 species